CCCUUAGAUGUCCUGGGCCGCACGCGCGCUACACUGAGUGUCUGAGAUACGAGUCUGCCUGGUCCGGCAAGGUCUAGGUAAUCGCUAAAAGACACAUCAUGCUUGGGAUAGAUUAUUGCAAAUAUUAAUCUUGAACGAGGAAUUCCUAGUAAGCGCAAGUCAACAGCUUGCGUUGAUUACGUCCCUGCCCUUUGUACACACCGCCCGUCGCUACUACUGAUUGGAUGUUUAAGCGAGGUUCUCGAACUGCUAGCGACUUAGCUUUGGUGAGGUCGCAGUGUGGGAAGUGAACCGAGCUUUGGUGUCUAGAGGAAGUAAAAGUCGUAACA
rnacentral:rRNA from 1 species